AGCAUCAUGUGAAGCACAGGAAUUAGAGAGUUAAUACUCCAGUUCUGUGCACUGACAACUUUCUGGAUACCCAGCUCUCAGAAGAGAAGAAUACCCACCCCAGAGAACUCUGCUUUCUGCAUUCAGUCUUUUUAAAAAGUCUGCAUGACCAUUGGAGCUGAAAAGACAAGAAAAUAUCUGCUUCUGGUUUUCCACAAGAUCUGCCCUGUCCAGGAUUUGGAGAUCUUUUAUAUUACUUUGGUGAAGGAAAACAGCAAGAUUGGACUCCAUCAGAUGGAUAAUGAGGUGUUGCACUGUGAAAUCACUUCUGAAAAAUUUAAAGGCUGAAAACAUUUCAGAAGCCGUAGCUUUUUGUUUAGUGACAAUUUGCUCAUGGAAAAAGAUUCAGAAUAUCAAAUUUUACAGCUGCCAUUCAAGCACAGGAAAGGAUGUCACCAGUCCAAGAUACUGCCCCACACAGCCCUGCAUCGGAUGCCAGAGGAAGCGCGACCUCCGCUGCUGCAGUCUGAGAGCAGUGCAGUGUUCCCCCCCGUGGCUGCAGUGUGUCAUCAGCACGUUAUUUUCCUAGUUACUCAGUUCAGCAGGAAGGAUCUUCUGCAAAGGAGAGGUGUUCCUUGGGCUGGGUGACAAGAACUAAACCUUCCUGGGACAGCUUGUCCUCCCAUGCUUUAGUCAGGGAUGGGCAACUUCUGCAUUAAAAAAAAUGCAUUGCAAGAUGUGUUCUGUCCAUUGUAAAAACUUAUAGCCAGUUCCAAGCAAAUAGAGGUGUGUAUCUACUGUGAACUUUACAGUCGGCACAGACCUGUGUUUAGUUAACCUCAAAGAGUACAGUAACAAUUCCCAGGUUUGUGGUGUGAGGAUUGGGGCUAGACAGCACCACCAUUAGAAGUGAGGGAUCCUCAUCACCAUAUCACCCUGCCCAUAUCUCCUGCCUGGAUGGUGGACCAAUGAAUAGAAUUCGGUUGAAAAUCAGUCAUUGCAGAACACGGUUUUAAAGCACCUUUGGUUGGAAGGAUACAGUGGAAGAAAAAUGUGGCUCUAAGAGGACAGCCUUCGGGAAGGGAAGGCGUGUUUGGAAUAUUUUUCUUGGAACAUUAUGCAAUGGAUUACUUCUGGUCAUGAUUACAUCUGCUUAUUCAAGUCAUAGAUGGAAAAUAUAUAUGGAAGAAUCCUCUGUCAUUCACACCUUGACUUCUCAAAUGAGUUUUAUUCUGGGGCAUUAUGAAGGUGCAGCUGACCUGAUUUGGUCCGGACAACUUCCUACACGAAACCCCAAGAAGCCCUAAUGGUUCUACAGGAUGAAGAGAGAAAUCAUGUAGACCAGCUGCAGCUGCUACCACUGGCGUCUCCAGCUGGUUAACGCAUAAGGAUUUUAAUCAUGGGCCUCGGGACAGAAUCACAGACAAUUUUUUUCCAGGAAAAUACAUCUGACAUGUGAGAAUGGAUGCCAUAGGUGGAGAGAAUGAAAAAGGAAGAAAUAUCAUCAUAGGAAUGCCAAGGUGGUUGUUUUCAUCAAGGAGAUUAACUUGAGCCAUGGUGAAAGCAGUCUGGAAGACAUUAAUGUGCCAUGUUACCAACAGUAUUUGGUGAGUGUGAGUAAAAAUGUAAACAUAGUUAAACUUUACUUUACACUGUUCAGCACUUUCUGGUACUUUGUAAUGGCUGUCUAAGGCUUCUGGGAGGCACAUAUAGAAGGUAAACUUUAAGUAAGCUCUUACAGUUCCCUAUAGACAGCUGAGGAGUCCAAGAAUCUUUGAAUAAUGCUUGUAAAUGCCGCAUGAGAUUUCCUUUACAAACAUCUAUAUUAGGUCUAAAUUAGAUGUGAAUCACCUUUCUUGGUUGCAUUAAUUUGCAUUAUUUUUUGACAGCAGGAGCUACUGAUUAGUCAGCACAAAAAAAUCGUCUUCUGUUUGUUACCCUUCUUGGGUAUAGGGAUGUUAGGGUAUGAUAGAACCCCAGGGAGCAGCAGCGCAGUGCUGUGUCAGGGGAGGGUCAGGAGGAGCUUGAGAAAAAGGUUCUUAGGCAGAGGGCUGUGGGCAUAGAUCAGGCUCCCCAGGGCAGUGGGCAUGACCCCAGGCAGCUGGAGCUCAAGCAGCAUUAGGACAAUGCUCUCCAGCCAUAUGGAAUAUUUGCUGCACUCUCAUGAAAGUCACUGAACAGUGUAUGACAGCAGUCUGAGGAAAACUAGCUUCUAAGUACUGGCAAAUGUCUUCAGCGUGGCAUGCUGCAUCUUUCACAGUGUCCAUCUCCUCAUAGUACGUGAGGCUGGGGAACCUGUGUCUGAUAUGAUAACAUAGGCUUUAAUGUCUCAAGGUGGCACAGGAAACAAGAGAUGCAGCUGUCAGUGCCACACAGGGAGAUUUUGAAUGAUCAGCUUCUAUGCCACACUUGGUUUUGCUGAUUUUGAGCAUUGUACUAAUAUCCUCCAGAGCUUUAAGGUGUCUGCUGGGUGUCUUUGUUAUGCUCCUACAGAGGGGAAACUGCUAAUCUGAGCAGGACAUUUAUAGCUGGUAAAUUUUAUAGGCUGCAUUGAAGAGCAGCUUAUAUCUUUGCAGACUAAAAUCCCAAUUUAAAUCUAACUCUCUGGUUGUUAGCUUAGAAGCAUGGAGUCACAUUUAAUUGGUUUGCAUUGAUUGUUUGAAAGUGCUUAUUCGUUUAAUACAGUGUUUUGACAAAGCAGUAGACUUCUGCUUCCUUUCAAUAAAUGGAAAGGAAGGUAAUUACUGGCAGAAUGCUAGCCAACUUUUUCACUUCUCUAUAUAUGGAUGUACAAAAAAGUGCGUUUGUAUACUCUAGUUUUUAAGCUAUGAACAAACUGCAACCUAAAAAAUGAACACACAACAGAAAAGUGUAACUUGUUUCUUCCUUAUGAGGUGCUUCAUGUUUCUGCAUCCCAAGGAAAUACCACUGGUUCUGAACUGAAUUAACAGCAGAACCUAGAGAAUGAAGGAAUGGAAGCCCUCAGUAUCUCCUAGGUUCAUUAAGCAUUUAUAAAAUAUUUGCAGAAAUAUGGAUAAAUAAAAUAGCUCUUCUAUCUGUAUAGAACAUUUUUCAAACCAGUGUCCCAUUAUUAGUGCAGUGUUCAACUAAAAACUGCCUUGUCAAUUUAAUCAGCAACUAAAUACUCUGCAAAUGGCAUCUCCCAAAAUGGGGAGGAAAUACAUAACAAUUUUUUUUUAAUUCAUGUAACCACUGAAAUAAUACCACUCAAUUGCUUGGACUUCCUUCAGUCUUGAGAACCAUUUCAGACGAGGGAAAGAGAAAAAUGAACUGAUCUGAGCAUUGCCACUCAUUCAUCCUUGGAUCAACUGCUACACUCCUGAGCUCUGCUGUUAGAAAACAGAACAGGUCUGCUGACUGUUUCCAGGGAAAGUAACCACUCCUUUGAAGUCCCAAGCUCUUACUUAGCAAGCACUUCUUCAUACAGUAUCUUCACUGUAAUGUAUCCCAAGUUUUAUACUUAAGACUUAUGCAAGGGAAAAUAGACUUCCUGUUGCUUCAAUGGUUAGUUAAUAGGAAUUUUCAGAGUUCCUAACCUGGUAAGUUCUGCUUCUGUGCAAACUUUCAAUAGUAGUACUCACUUGAUUAAUGUUGUUUGUUCUAUUUUUACACCAGCUUUGCCUGCUGGCUCCAGAUAAAUUACACACUGACACCUUAAGAUGUGUACCUAUCUUUCUCUAUUUCUUCUUCACACUUUUAAUUGACGUCUCUAUUGAACUAUUGAUAACAAUAUCCACUGAGCUGUGGACUGUACUGAAUUUUUUCUCAUUACGUUGUGAAACUUGCAGUUGUACACGUGUCACAUACUGGGUUGGACCUUUGAAAAAGUAAAGGACAUUUCUUGCUAAAAAAUAUGGAGUUCUUAGAGGUAUUAUUGUUGUGGCUUUGCUCUUUGAAAUAAAGGAACAGUAUUUUUCUGUAUUCUCACUGGCAUCUGCAUAGUAUCUGUGGAUGAAUGAUUCUGCAUUAUAGUAUCUGCCAUGCCACAGUGACGUAGAGCACUUGGCAAAUGUUAUGUGACAUUUUAAGCUUUUAAAAGUGUGUAAUAAUCUAAACAAGAUGCCCAAAUCUUGGCUAAAAUAUAGUCGAAGUAAUUGGGUAAUGAUUAAUAAUAUGCAAUCUCUGUUCUGAUAUGUGAUCUAGAGUUCUGCCACUGACCCAAAUGAGAAAGCGGAUUUAAGCCGUUAAUUAGUCAUGUGGGGAAGUGAGAAGAAAUUAACAGAUUUUACAUUCACAUGCACUAGCAGGAGGGAGGAAGAAAUAUCACACAGUCAAUGUGACAGAAGCUUCCCCCAAAAGGGGCACGAAUUUUGAGUAUAUUGACUAAGGAACAACUUAUGUGGUACUUCCUAUGGUAAUGUAUUCUGCUGAUUAAUUGUCCUCGCUGUUAGAAAGCCACGCAUUAUUUCUACUUUGCAUUUGUCUGUCUUUCAGCUCUUCACUGCUGCUUUGCAUCAUGUCUUUCUCUGUUAUAUUAAACAGCCCAUUUGUAUCAAGCUAAAGCAACCACAUGAAAGUGUUUAUAAACCAUAAUCAAGUUACCUUUUGAUCUCUGUUUUGAUAGAGUAUGACUCACUAAAGAUCUUCAAUUAUUUUUAGUAUUUUUGCAGCAUAUUUUCCUAGUUUUUAACUCCCCUUUCCACAGAUAUUAAUUUAAACGAAGGAAUAGUAAAAUAGGUCACGUAUUCAUGAACUCGCCUGUCUCCAAAGAUAACCAUUAACCUCUCUAAUCAGCUUGGCUAGAAGUUCAAGGCAAUUUAGAACAAAGAUUGUUGGACAGGACUGUAGGAAUGUAUCUGACUUACUUAUAUAUUAUUUACAUAUUCUUCAAACUGUAAUUUAAUGUCUUGGCCAUAGAUCUUGCCCUUUUUGUUUGUCAGGCACUUGAUUUCCUUGCACUUUUGAGGGAAAAAGUCAUUAAAUACUUCAAAAUACUUCAAAUGCAAUUGUGCAAAGAGCCUUGACGUUACAUGUACCACGAAGCGCGGCCCCAAACCUGUCCUUUAUUUUCAGUUAUGUGCCCAAUAAUUUCUUGUUCCUCUUGAUGCCCCUUGCUAGUUGCACCUCACUUAAUCCCCUUGGCUAUGCAGAUUUGGGGCCUCAUGCCUGAUCUAUACUUUUGAAAUCAUCUUCAGCAAUCUGAUUUUCGUUUCCUUUUCUAGUACAGUCCAAUUUUAUAUGAGAGAGUAACAAAAUUAAUUUGUUAUUCCUCUGCCUUUCUUCCCCCCCCACAGUUGCAUAGCUUACACUUUAACUCUAAAUACUUCAUCUCUGAAGAGUUGCCAGUUCAGCUUUUCUUUUUUUUUUUAUUUCAAAUCAUUAUCCCAGGAGAGUCCACCUACAAAACCUCUGAUUUAUGAAGUCUGCUUUUUUGAAGCUUGCUAUUUUUAUUCUGUACUGCACCAGCUUUCCAAGCCCUAGCUUCCUUGCAGCUGUAUUUUCUCCAAACAUGUCAAAAGUUUCAGAGAUUUGUUAUUGUUAAAUUACUUACAGAUGCUGUAAAGGAGCAAUCGCAGUCGUACAUGUGAUCAACACGCAGGGAACAACGUCUGCCUAAAGGUGGUAGCUUCUUUGUCAAAGUAUUUUGUGUUAUCUGUUAUUUCAUUCCAUGAGGAAAUGAACUGAAGAAACCUGACCUCAAAUGCAAAACUGCAUGUCGCUGCAGCAUAGUUGUGACAUGAAAAAUACGUGUGCUGUCCCAUGGCUAAAACCAUAUGAACGGAGCUAAAUGGGAAUCUUAUGCCAAAAGAAACACAAAAUUCACUUAAAGUAAAACAAACAAAAAAAAAUCAUUUAAAAAAAACUAACAAGUAGUGCGUCCCAUCUAAUGACUUUUUUGGGGAUAGGGAGCAAUGGAGAUGAGGAAAGAGGGCUGGAGAAGAGUGAUGAAGGGAGAAAGGGAUUGAAAAAUGGUUGAAGUAGUGAGUGAGGGAAGGAGGAAGAAAUAAGUGAAUGGAUGAAGAGAUGGAGAAGUGGGUGAAGAGGAGGAGUGGAGGAGAAAUGGAGGAUGGUUGGAGGGCUGUGGAACCCUUCCAGCAGGACUACUAAUCUAACUACUGCUCCUUCUCAUUCCCCAGCACGGUCCUGCUCAUCCAAACACCCACAGAGGCUGUGUGCCACCAUCCCAAACCCUGUCCCUGACCCCAAUAUCAUCCCCAAACAAUUCCUCACCAAUGCCACCUGCUAAGCCCUGGGUGUGGGCCAUGGCUGCACCUUUGACCACCUCCAGCAUGAUUUCUCAGGCUUCUGCCUCUACAUUUUGACAGAACACUGCUUCAGAAAUAAGAGCCCCAGAUUCUUCUGUGUCCUCAUCCAGGGCAGCCCUGGCAGUGUCAUUGGUGCCAAAGUCCAUGUCUUCCACACGGUGAAGGAGCUGGAGCCUGGGCGGGUGCUGGAAGCAAUGGCUUGGAAAUGGCGGUAUCAGCCAGGAGCCCGCGCAGCAAACUGGUCUCAUCAUUUGGAUCUGUUGAAAACCGCCGUGAUGACAAAGGAACGCUUGGGUCGUUUCUGUGCUGACUGUCACACAGCCUUGUGGAACAGGCAGGGACACGGCAUGGCAGAGAAAAGGGAUUUCUCUUACGGUGGAAAAGGUGCCCAAGGAACGUUCACAUCCCACGUGCAGGGCAGCUCGUGCUGCAAGUGGCCAGGAUCGCACUAUGGAUGAAGGUCGGCGUGGGAGCAGCUGCUGAUGGGAGCAGGAAGUCCAGGCUGAUGCACUCUGAGGCAUCUCUUGGUGCGGUACCAGAGGUGGCAGUAAUGAUGUCGGGGCACAGCUGCAGAAGAACGUGAGGAGCUCCCCAGCAGGAAGCCACAAAACCUGCAGAAAGCUGCAGGAGAGCCAGAGCGUGCGCGGGAGCCCAGGAGGAAAUGCAGCCCAGGAGUUGGAGCGGCGCCUGGCCAUGGAGUGCUGCGGCCCACGGCCAGAGCUAUUCUGCCUUCGCCGCGCCGGCUUCCCAAGCAGGACGUGUGUGUCUGCAUAAAAACCAGAGGGCUGGCUCAUCCAAAUGCUUGCUGAUUGUUUGGAAGAUCAAAUCCUUCAGGCCUCCAAGCAGGAGGCAGCCCAAAGGCAACAUCUCCUGGGUGCAAUCAUGGAGAGCCUGAGUGAGAAGGUGACCUGAGAUGGCUGCACGAGAGUCACCUUAAUUUCUCUGUUAUCUUACUUCCAAUAACCCCACUGGGUGACCCUUGUGUCGGUCUCUUAGAAUUUGGAUCUCGGAGGUGUGCGCUUCCUUUGCUUAGAAUGAAAGCGCAGGAGUGAUGCGGAACCGUGCUGAGGUCACAGUCGUUGCUGGGGUGGCAGGGCUUGGCCCUCCUGGCGAGCAGAGCUGGUGCUCUAGUGAGCGAGUGGCACACAGAGACUGAGCUCUGAGCGUUUUGUGGAAGGGAUCAUCCUUGAGAGCCCGUCAGAAGCACCGCUUUGGCGAGUGUGUGACCUGGGCACAGCCUGGACUGACCUGGACCAAGAGGGUUCCAAUCUGAAAGGUGAUCUUGGGUCCAAGCAGUCCCAGAGUGCAGCCGCCUCUUUCCAAGAGCGGGGAAUUCCUUUGGAGAGG